AUAUAUAUAUAUAUAUUAGAUGUAACUGGUUAAACUUAAAGCCGAUAUUUUCUAUCGAACUAGUCUAUUUUCUGAUCAGACACAAUGUUUCUGAUGCUGAUAUUAUAUCAGUGUGUGUUUGUGUGGGGGUCGUGUGAUGUAAUCUUUGAAAGUUUAUGACCGAACCUUUAUUGGGGAGCGACAAGAGAUCUCCGGGAUCAGUUUGGAUGGAGCAGAGCUGGUAUACUCAAACCUGGUGGUACGUAUAUGUGUUUUACUGGGGUCAUUCCAACAUAUUGCGUGAUUAUUUAAAAACUAAAAAUUCGAUCUCUGGUCUUGCAGCGAAAUUGUCUAAACUGGUAUUAACUAUUCCUGGUAAAUCGCUGAGAAGAGUGGAAUGAACAAAAAAAGACUGAUCAAACAGGCCGGUACCUUGGAACCUCCCGCAGCGUAACAAGGAAAUCUUGGAACAAAGAGACGCCGAGUGGCUCGUGCCGACCGUUUGGAUAUCGACGGCAAAGUUUGGAUAUCGUUGCAAGAUCUAGAGCGGAUCUCCACGUUUAGGAUACAGACCACAACGCUUUGGACGUGUCUUUAAAAAAGAGAAAAAUCAGAGACUUUAUGGACUUGACUUCGAACACUUUAAACAUUUUGUGACAUAUUGGAUUUAAAACAUUUCGGAUACUGGAUACCUGUGUUGAUUUGUCCACAGAGCUGGUCGCUUUUUAAAAUCACAUGGGUAAGUGACUAUUAUAAAUUGUUUUGCUGUUGUUUUAAACUUAUGUUCUAAAUACCUAUUUGUUUUAUUUUUCAUCGUUUAUAUAAUCCGUUUUUAUACUCAUUUGUAGAGUUUUUUCGCUGUUUUAUAUAUUUUGUUUGUUUUUGAUAUUUUAUACUCGUUAUAUUUUUGGUUUAGUUUUUAUUGUGUUUACAUUGUUUGAUUAUUUGAAAAUUUUGGGGUUUCACUGUGUUUCCGAAUAUUGUGGUAGAAAUGGCCCAAAAACGUUAUUCCGACUCUGGCUGUGACCAGGCGAAUAAAAUUAUAAGGCGCAAUGAAUCCGCGUUUGAUAUAAUUGAUUACCAAUUGGGGAUGCAAAUACUGAUAGAAACUGUCAGAGCUAUGAAUGGAAAUCAUAGUAAUGUAGACGGAUUCGCAGAGGUGUUAAGCAUGGUCGAUUCCCUUUCACAACCCCCUCCAGAGCCGAGUAUGGUCUUAGAUCCUGAUGUUUUAAAUACGCAUCAGGUUUUUGAGAUUCCAGAAGAUGGUUUAAUAAAUCAACAGAUUGAACCUGGAACUUCAGAUACUGGUUUCAUCAAUAAUCAAAUUGAACCACAGGUUCCAGGUUCUGAUCUAAACGAUCAUCAGGUUCUCGACGGGGGAUCUGAGAAUUUACAUGUUCAACACGGUGGUGAGGGGUCGGACGAUCCCCAUCAUAAUUCUGAAAUGGCUGAUAUGGGUCUAACCCCCGACGAUGUUGAGAGGCUUGUGAGAGACGGAGGUGAAUUUAAUGGUUAUACCGUCGUUCCUCGUACAAGAUUUAACAGUCUGGAAAUACUUAGGAAUAUAAAUCUGAGGGCAAUAGCUUCUACAGAUAUGGCAUCCUACGUUCUAUUUCUGGAUGGCGUUCUAAACGAUAUAGUCUCAAUAUCUAGAAUAUUUGCGGGCGAUGGGGGAAUAAUACAUGUAUUAUUA